GACGAACGCUGGCGGCGUGCCUAAUACAUGCAAGUAGGACGCAGUUGCGAACGGGUGAGUAACGCGUAGGUAACUGCCUAUUAGAGGGGGAUAACUAUUGGAAACGAUAGCUAAUACCGCAUACUAGUAGAUGGACCUGCGUUGUAUUAGCUAGUAGGUAGGGUAAUGGCCUACCUAGGCGACGAUACAUAGCCGACCUGAGAGGGUGAGCGGGCACACGGGGACUGAGACACGGCCCAGACUCCUACGGGGAGCAGCAGUAGGGAAUUGUCGGCAAUGGGGGGAAGCCUUAACGAGCAACGCCGCGUAAUUGAAGGAGGUUUUCGGGUCGUAAAGCUCUGUUGUUAAGGUAGCGGUACUUAACCAGAAAGGGACGGCUAACUACGUGCCAGCAGCCGCGGUAAUAC
rnacentral:rRNA from 1 species